CACAGCAGAGAGUACGGAGUCUGGAAGUUCAGGGUGACAAGGUGUGGCUCAUAGCUCUGCCCUUUACUGAGGCCCUAGGAUGCAGAAGUCUCUCUAGUCUGUUUCCUUGGCUAUAAGAUGGGAAUAAUAAUGGGAUUUGUCUCAAAGGGUUAUUGUGAAUUAAGUAAGAUUAAAUGAGACAGUGCAUGUGAAAUGCCCAGCCCAACAGAAGCUAGCAAUUUUCAGUGCCUGCCUGGCACAUGACAGUACUCAACACACGGCCCAUUUGUUUUUUCCUAUUACUUUGGCUUCUCAGGGACCUUUCUCACAAAAGGAAGUCUUUAAAUUAUUUCUUAUACCAAUAAACUUUUCCUUCGGAGGGCUUGUGACGUGACCUGAGGUUGAUACAGCUCCAAAUCCUACAAGGAAUUCUGUUCAACAUUAAGAAGAUCUCUUGUCAUGGGAGUCAACUUAACCCAAAUCCAAAACAAACAGGUCUGUGGCUUAAGAAGGUGGCAUGGCUGCUCUACUGAGGCUGGGUUUGCAUUCCCGAUGACGUUUUCCAUCACCGACCGCCAGCCUGCCUUACCUGCUGCCUUGAGAAGAGCCGCCAGCCUGGUGGACCCUCUCCCGGCCGCUAUGUGCAGGGGUGUAGUUCCAUCAUAGGUGGUGCUGUCUACGUGGGCAUCACCCUAAAAUCCACCCACACAGAAAAGGUUAUUCCAAAUCAUCUUCAAAGGAAUUAGCUACAGCCAGCAAUGGAAAUUUCCGUAAGAGAUGAUGAAUUCCACGUGGUUAAGGGAAGCACCUUGGCGUGCAAAUCAG